AAACAAUGAUAGUAUUAUAUCUCAGUCCGACUUUGGCCCCCCGUCCUCUGCUCUCGUCCUCGUCCCCGGUCCUCUAGGUUUUCCCAUUUCCGACCAUCUCGAAGGAAGAGAAGAAGAGAUCGAGGGGAGAUUUGGGCGUUUCUCUCCUUGCCUCUUGCUCUAUGCCCUCGCUGGCAAGGUGCGUCGGAUGCAGGCUGGCGGGAUCAUCCGCCGCUUCGAGACGGAUACUCUGCGCUUACGGUCCUUCUAUGUUCUUUCACGAAAUCCAAUUCAUGAGAUUGGUGACUCUUUGAUGAAAUUGGCAUCUAUCACAAAGCUUUCUCUCUCCCAUUGUCAAAUUCAAGAAAUUGGAUCUUCCCUCACGUCAUGGGUGGUUUUGAAGUCAAUCAGAUUUGCUCAAAACAAGAUUACAGUAUGUUUUACCUGCAUAAAAUACAUGCUCUGCCUGCUGAGUUGGCACGGAACAUAAAAGUUCAUAAUUUAGAUCUUGGGACCAAUCUGAUUGAGAAUUGGUCAGACUUAAAGGUCAGUGAUUAAUGAUGCCUGACUUUGUUACUUCAACUACAUCUAAGGAUGCACUAAUUUGAGACUUUAGGUUGCAUUGCUGCACAAUCUGCUGAAUUGACAAGGAUCAAAUGAUUUUGAUAAUAAGCAAGGAAAGGUGGAAAUAAGUUCCUUAAUUGAAGCUUAGGAGUAAGGAGUUGCCUUUAAUAGAAGACAUAAACUGAGUGAAGCGAGCAGCUGAUUCAAAACUUGGUCUUCCAUCACAUUAGCUAUGGAGAGUACAGUGUUUGCGAAGUCAGUAGAAUAGUGAAGAACUGGCGGAUUGCUAUUUCUUUUUAACCCCCCCCCCCCCCCCCCCCCAAAAAAAAAAAGGAAAAAAAAAGAAGACUGGCACAUUAAAAGCUAAAGCUCUGUGGGCGGUAAUAGAGGAGAGCGGUUUAGCAAAUCUCUGUGGGUGGUAAUAGAGGAGAGCGGUUUAGCAAAGAUCCAAAAAAGAUUACAGUCAGAAAGAUAAGGUUUGAUAUUAGGCUUUGACAUCUUGCGUAGGAAAGAAAAAUAACUUUUCUACCUGAAAAAAAUAAUUGUUUUCCAAAUGUCUCUACAGCUUGGCAAUAUUGUGGUGAACAAAGUCUUUCUGGAAACCCUGCUGAAGUCUGAUUUUAUUGUAAGGAUGGUAGUAUGGGAAAUGUUUGAAUUUUGUUAACAAUAUAGAGCUAUUAGAUUGUUCUUUGACAAAGUUCCCAUGGGUAAGUGGUUUUGAUCUGAUGAGUAUGUCCAGAUUAAAAGGAUUAUAAUGUUUGCUGAGGCAGAAAGAUCAUCUUCCCCUGGUGCAUUUGUAUAACAAAGUUUGUCCUAUUAUAACUAGACUACCCUUUAUACAAUCUCAAGCUUAAAGUCAUAUCAACAUGAUUAAAAGUCUGUCAAGUAUGACAACCGGAGCUCAAAUAUCACAUGAUUUAAGAAUGCUUACGGAUGUUGAAAGAGUUGUAUAAUUACAAUUGCUAUGGUCCAUAUUACAGGAAUAGCAGUAACUCAGAAUAAGGAAACAAAGUAUGUCCUUCAGUCCUUGCAAAAGAAGAUGAUGCAUCAGGGAGCUGCCAGUCAAAAAUCAGAAUACUUCCAUUGUAUUGGGCACAAAGUCUGGAAUUUAUAAAUGAUUGGGAGAAAGUUCAAUGAAUUUGAAUCAAGAUGGUCACAUCAUAUGAGAAGAAGCCAGACAAAGCUCUUACCAUCUAGAAAAUGAUUGGACUGGGAAAAAAGAAGAAAAGAAUACCUGUCUCAAAUAUAAACCUCUUUUCACUGCUAGGAAUUAUAUGCAGUGCCUCGGUAACAAGCACCGGAAAAGAGGAUUCUGGAUCCCCUUGGUUAAGAUAUCUCUCUUUUAGAAUGCAAUCACACACUUGCCUUGCUUGAGCAAAAUAUUUAGACUUACAUGAUUCAGUCUGGCAAUCCCUGUAUAAAAAUGCUACUUCUAAAGAUGCAUACAUAAUUACCGGAAAAAUUUGAACAAUAAUUUUUCUAGCUAUGUAGGGAUAAAUUCAAAUCUUGAAGGACUGGUUCAGAUACCAAUGAUCAUAUUAUUCAUGACUACAUCGUUCCUUAUACUAAGAAGGCUGGGAUGGUAUUAAGUUGAUAAAUGUUCUUUCAUGCAAAUUUCAUGGCAUAUACGAUCCAAUUGCUAUUACUGUAUCUUUUACUCUCUUUUCUAGUUAAUUUUCUUGCUAAUGUUCUGUGGAGAUGCAAAUGCUUGGAAAGAUCCUCUUGCAAAAUUCUAAUAUUUCUCAGUUCUCUUAGUAAUUUUAUUUGAAAUUUCUACACCAGUAUCUUAUGAUUUUCCCCUUUUAGUCCUUUAAUAAGAGGCACACACUAUCUUUUUUCAAAUAAAAGAAGAAAAGAGGCACCACAUCAAAAAAUUAACCCGCUUUCUUCUAUUUAUAGGCAUGACCACAUUUUUUUGCGAAUCAUAGACAUCUAAUUUGCACAUUUGUAUGGAUUUGUUUGGUCAUGUAGGUGGUGAAGCGCUCAGUCACAUGCAAUGGCAUUGUCCCAUGCCAGAUUUAGAUUACUGUAAUUCAUCUGGAUGAUUUGAUACUAUGGCAUGCCCAUUCAAUGGCACAUGGUCAGUGACGAACCUACUCGCAGGAAACAAACAUGAAAUUUCUUGUAAUUUCAAGAAUAUCCUUUCCUUCUAUAGAGUGGAGAUGUGGAGGCCUUUUUCGCAGUGGGCACCUGUGGCUCUUUCCACUGCCUAUACAAGAUACAGUCAAAUGCCACCUACAAGUUUAUCAGGGAGAAAUAGAAUAACUCAUGGAGGAAAUGGAAGAUGCUAUGUCUCAACAGCGAGAUGAUAUUGAUAUAAAUAAAUUCGGUAUCUCUAUUAACUUUUGUACAUGUCAUUCCAAAAAAGCCAGGGCAUCCAGCAACAAAUGUAUCAUAGUGGGAGUCAUCAAGUAAUUUGCUCUUGUUAUUCAUUAUGACAAUAUUCAUAAAGACAAAAAUUACUUAUCAGGGCUUCUUUAAGUACAAUUUUCAUGUAAAUCGGAGUAUGAAAAUGUUGAUUUACACAUACAGGAAGUUUUGUGGUAUCAGUUAUAAUUUUGGUGGUGCACUCAGUUAUGGUGAUGCUGCUUUUGAACCCUCACAUAAAGGAAGAAAGCUUGUCUGGGUUAACACUAACACCAUCAAUGUAUUGGGAUUGCAAGAUCUCCUUCAUCUCUGUGCAAAGAAAAAUUUAAUUGUGUUAGGGAGGAGCUGCCAUGGCUUAGCUAUUCAGGCUGGUCAGCUCACUGAUAUCCUGACAUGUAACAUCCUGAUCAACCUGUACUCCAAAUGUGGCCAUAUUGGAUCCGCUCGUUGUGUGUUUGAUAGGAUGCCUGUCCGAAGUAUAGUUUCGUGGAAUACCAUGAUUGCUGGACAUACCCAUUAUGGAGAGGACAGAGAGGCGCUGAAGCUUUUCUUGCAGAUGCAUCGAGAAGGGACGAUGCUGAGCGAAUUUACUCUAUCCAGUGUCCUCUGUGCAUGUGCUUCCAGAUGUGCUGUUACUGAGAGCAAACAAUUGCAUGCUUUGGCGCUUAAGACUGCAAUGGAUUCCAAUGUGUUCGUUGGAACUGCAGUUCUUGAUGUCUAUGCAAAAUGUAAUAUGAUCAAUGAUGCAUGCCGGGUUUUCGAAAAAAUGCCAGAAAAGUCGCCGGUCACAUGGAGUUCAAUGGUUGCAGGUUACGUGCAAAAUGAUCUUCAUGAGGAGGCGUUGAGGUUAUUCCAAAAAGCGCAGCAGAUCGGAGUGGAGUUGACACAGUAUACAAUGUCUGCUAUUCUUAGUGCCUGUGCAAGCCUAGCAGCAACAAUUGAAGGGAUACAGUUACAUGCAAUUUUGAUAAGAAGUGGUCUAAGUACUGAUGUCUUUGUGUCCACCGCUCUUAUUGAUGUCUACUCCCGGUGUGGAUGUGUAGAGGAGGCUUACUUAGUUUUUGCAUAUAUGGAAGACAGAAACAUUGUGUUGUGGAAUGCCAUGAUCGCCGGAUUUUCCAAGCAUGCUCGGUUCCAUGAAGCCAUGAUUCUUUUUGAGAAGAUGCAGCAGCUGGGAAUGCAUCCGAAUGAGGUUACCUACAUCUCGGUGCUAUCUGCAUGUGGUCAUGCUGGUUUAAUUGAAAAGGGUCAUCAUUAUUUUGAUCUAUUGAUGAGAGAUAACUAUGUGCAGCCCAAUGUCCUUCACUAUUCUUGCAUGGUCGACGCUCUUGGCCGGGCUGGGCACAUUGAUGAAGCUUGGGAAUUAAUUCAGAAAAUGCCAUUUAAGGCUACUGCUUCGAUGUGGGGAUCUCUGCUCAGUUCAUGCAGGAUCCAUGGCAAUCUCAAAUUGGCUAAAACUGCAGCUGAGCAUCUUUUUGAGCUUGAACCUAAUAAUGCAGGAAAUCAUGUUUUGCUUUCAAAUAUAUAUGCCACGAAUAAAAAAUGGGGAGAUGUUUCAAUGGCAAGGAAGCUUUUGAAAGAUAGCGGUGCAAAAAAGGAGAUUGGGAAGAGUUGGAUAGAAGUGAAGGGCAAGGUCCACAUUUUUGUUGUCGGGGGGAGUAACCAUGCCAGAACCACCGAGAUCUAUGCUAAAUUGGAAGAUAUUGGGAAUGAGCUGAAGAAGUUGUCUUAUAAAGCCGAGACUCAAUGUGAUCUUCAUGAUGUAGGGGAAGAACAAAAGGAGGAGCUGUUGAAGCACCACAGUGAGAAGUUGGCACUUGCUUUCGGACUCAUUAGCUUGCCUCCUGGAAUGCCGAUCAGGAUAAACAAGAACCUUAGAAUCUGCAGAGACUGCCAUUCUUUUAUUAAAUUAGCCUCAAGGAUCACUGGUAGGGAAAUCAUUGUCAGAGAUACUAAUCGGUUUCAUCAUUUUAAGGAUGGGAUUUGUUCCUGCAGGGACUUCUGGUGAUACUGAAACAUCUUUUUUUUUUUUUUUUUUUGGGGGGGGGGGGGGGGGACUAUCAGCUGGAUUCUGAUGUCACUUUUUUGUCAUAUCCUCCUCCAUGUACAUGAGCCACCUCGCUCAUUUCUCCUGAGAUAUGGUUCGACAAGUCCACUGAUGGUUUUAUCUUAUGCAUCAGUGAGAGACCGAAGAGAUUCACCAUUUUAUUGGUAUAUUCCUGUGGGAUAUCUGGUGUGAAGAAUGAUCAUUUCUUUUUCGAUAAUAUUACUCAUGCCUCUGGAUAAUUAUGUCACCGGACCAUGCUGAAAUUGUUCGAUUGAUAAGGUUAUCGUUCAGCAGCUGAGAGGCAGGUCGUGUGGUCUCUACACUCAAGCUAUCUUGCAUAGCCUAUUAGUGCCUCUCCAGGAGCAUAUCAAAGCAUGUUUACAGAUGGGUUCUUGAGUGAUUUUGGUAGAGUGUGGUGCUGAAGACUGGGAAUCGGAGCAGGAACAUGCUGUUUGAGUAUUCGUACAGCAAAACUAUAUCCAGAAUAUCGUAUCUAUCUUAUAUUGGUGCAUAUCAUUUCGAGCAUUCUGCUCCUGUUUUAAUUGCAGAAUAUACUGCAUCUGAAUAAGGGACAAGAUUCCAACUGCCACAUAUCCUAUAGCAAGCUAAGGAGAAAAGUUGGUCAUGCAAUGAUGAGGGACAUAUGACCUGCCCUUUGCUCAAGUUUGCCCCUGUUGAUCUUAAAUUCAGCUACGCCAUCUUUAUCAAAGUUUGGCUUAAAUAAACAACUGAAAAGUUGCAAAGUGGUGGGUUGGUUUUGCGAACUUACAUACCUGCUGAGUGCCAUUGGAUUCCAAUGAUCAUCAAAAUGCUAUCAACACCCAAGUACUGGUCUUGAGUCCCUUGCCAGUCAGAAUUGAUGAUGCUGUUUCAUGGACAGUGCCACAUGCCUCGGUGGUCCACCAUCCACCUCUUCUCAUGCUGAUCGCUGCCGUCCACUCACCGGUGGAUGGGUAGCGGUCGCACGAGUAGAAUGCAGACAGGUGGAUCGCACCGUCCUGCUCGCACCCCCACCUCCAUAAAUCAGAAUUUUCCCAAUCAAAGGAUACAGCUCAACUGGUCCAAACUGAAACAUGAAAUGAAACUCAUCAUCCGGGAAGAGUGUGGCCGUUUGCUGUUCCAUUCAUAGAUUUCAUGCAUCAGGCUAAACCAGCAUGAAGAAUUUCUCCCAGCUUUCACUGUCUGAUAAUAAUGGAUCUCUGGCUUCACUUCAUGUUCCACUUUCUCUGCUAGUAAAUUUCCUUCUCAGGAUGCACCGCUGUGAAAUACGAAAAGCUGUGGGCCUCAGAACUUUGCAGGGACAUGGAAAGGUGGAAUGACUCACUUGAGGUCUGCUGAAGAAAAAGAUGAACUGUCAUCAGGUCAGCCAUUUUGGGUGGACCACGCUUGCAGGUGGGGUUGAUGAAGGCAGCGACUUCUCGAAGAAAAGAUGCGGACGGGGCAUAUCAUAAUGAGCAUCCUGCAGGGCCCAGUGAAUUCGUUGCCACGGCGAUUGGUGGGUGUAUCAUUUGAGGCAUCAUCAUCUUCAGUGGCAGGUCUAUCUUUGCUGUGAUCCCUCCCACUGUGCGCUCUUGGUCGCGUCAGUGUCAUAUUUGUCAUCCAAACGGUAUCCUUAGGUGCUCUCCCUUUCACUUCCAAUGGCAGGAGAUGCCCUCUGUGUGAGGUGCAUGGGGAUUAGUAGUUAUUGUUGCCGUUUAACAACUCAUUCCAUCAGGACAGAGUUUGGUGCCAAUGGACAUAAUCCUUAUCCUCAGUAGCCAGUGCAUUAGUUAUUUUAUGUGUGUGUGUGUGUGUUUGAUGAUAAAGAAGGCCUAGAGAAGUGCCACCCGGCCUUUAUUACAUGAAAGCCAAAAAUAGAGACGAUGUAAACGAAAGAAAGCUUCAGAAAGAUACUACCCGAAGGCUGCCGCAGCAGGCAAAAAAGAAGGCAGAGACCGACCGCUUAAUGGUUGAUUGCAAGAAAGAAAGA